GAUGAACGCUGGCGGCGUGCCUAAUACAUGCAAGUCGAGCGAACAGACGAGGAGCUUGCUCCUCUGACGUUAGCGGCGGACGGGUGAGUAACACGUGGAUAACCUACCUAUAAGACUGGGAUAACUUCGGGAAACCGGAGCUAAUACCGGAUAAUAUAUUGAACCGCAUGGUUCAAUAGUGAAAGACGGUUUUGCUGUCACUUAUAGAUGGAUCCGCGCCGCAUUAGCUAGUUGGUAAGGUAACGGCUUACCAAGGCAACGAUGCGUAGCCGACAUGAGAGGGUGGUCGGCCACACUGGAACUGGAACACGGUCCAGACUCCUACGGGAGGCAGCAGUAGGGAAUCUUCCGCAAUGGGCGAAAGCUUGACGGAGCAACGCCGCGUGAGUGAUGAAGGUCUUCGGAUCGUAAAACUCUGUUAUUAGGGAAGAACAAAUGUGUAAGUAACUAUGCACGUCUUGACGGUACCUAAUCAGAAAGCCACGGCUAACUACGUG
rnacentral:rRNA from 1 species